rnacentral:rRNA from 1 species
GAUGAACGCUAGCGGCAGGCUUAAUACAUGCAAGUCAAGGGGGUAGCAAUACAACCGGCGCACGGGUGAGUAACGCGUACACAACAUACCAUAUACUGGGGUAUAGCUUUGGGAAACUGAAGGUAAUCCCCCAUAACAUUGCGAGAGGGCAUCUGAUUGCAAUUAAAGUUUCGGCGGUAUAUGAUUGGUGUGCGUUUGAUUAGCUAGUUGGUAGGGUAACGGCCUACCAAGGCGACGAUCAAUAGCUGGCGUGAGAGCGCGACCAGCCACACUGGAACUGAGACACGGUCCAGACUCCUACGGGAGGCAGCAGUAGGGAAUAUUGGACAAUGGGCGCAAGCCUGAUCCAGCCAUGCCGCGUGAUAGAUGAAGGCCCUCUGGGUUGUAAAUAUCUUUUAUCUGGGAAGAAACUCCUCUAUUCUUAGAGGCCUGACGGUACCAGAGGAAUAAGCACCGGCUAACUCCGUGCCAGCAGCCGCGGUAAU